GGUGUUUGAACAGUGUACUGGCCUCCCGAAGAGUAGACUCUCUGCAGUGAGAGUGCUGUGCUCUCAGUGUCGGACCCACCUUGAAAUUAAUUUUUGAAAGAAUGAUGUUGAACGGUACAAUAAAUUGAUAAAAGCCUUCCAUGAUGAAAAAGUAUGACAAUUGACCUUUUGAAGGAACAACGAUCCAGAACAACAUUCUGUUGUUGCUUGGAAUGAGACAUGUCUAGUACGACGUUGCUCCAGCCAAGGUCAGAGAUGUUGCUGCCUGUUUUCUCCUGUAGAAUGUUGAUGGUCUAGGGGUGCCUGGGUGGCUCAAUCGGU